rnacentral:lncRNA from 1 species
UUAGGAUAUCAGGAUAUCAGAAUGGACAACAAAAAAAGAGCGAAUCAGGAGACUGAGCAGGAACAAGGACUUAACUUGAUGAUGAAUUGAAAAAUAAAUUGUAUGUGACAAAUAUUUGAAAAAAUACAUUGAGAAACCAACAGAGUAAUAGCUGUGACACCCAUAAGGGAAAGAGGAACUGUUUCCUGAAACCUGACACCAGCAACAUGUCAGGCAUUGUUGUGGGAUUUAUUUUAAUCCUCGAAAUAAUCCUAACAGAUGCUCUUUCACUUAAAUGGAUGAAUUGAUAUGAAUGAGAUUGAUGAAAAAUGGUAAACAUUAAUAAUUGGACAUUUUCAGAGUUCUGGCUGUGUACAGGGACUGUGCAUAUGUGUCUUCUACACUCUCUUGCUUAGUAGUUACCAUAAAUCCCUAAAGUAAACAACACCCUCAUCAUCCUGCCUUACAGCCCAGCUCGGUAACCUUCUGGUUUAUGAAACACUGUAACUGAAUUCAGUAUGGUGCUGAUGCAGCAAGAUCAGAAAUUGCUUGGUUCCAGCGAUUGACAAACACAGUUACC